GAUCAACAUUAGACAAACUGAUAUCAUUCUUGGGUGUAGCAUUCUAUACCUUAUUAAUUUAUUCAAUAGUUUAGUCUUCCAUAAACACCACGUCGCAGCUUCAAAUAAGAUUCUUCCCUACAGGAUCAUACAUGAUCAGUCACCAUUUGCAUUGAAUUUUCGUUACUGAUCCGACACGAAACAGAGGCUUUUGACACACUAUGCAAGCAUUUAUGAUACGUUUCGAGUUAGUUUUACUUCCGUCAUUUUAUUUAAGCAUUUUUA
rnacentral:lncRNA from 1 species